rnacentral:sRNA from 1 species
CGAGCACCUCGAGGUACUGUCCUUCGAAUACAAGAUCGGAGAACGCGUGCCGCGGGAGAACUGGGACCAGCUCUAUCUUUACCCCUGAGGGAGCCGCACAAUCUCGUCUAAAGGACCGCCAUCAGGAACACGAAGGACCCGAGCGACAGUACGGCGAUGAUGCUCAUCAGCACCUUCAUCAUGUGUUCCGUCAUUUCGUACAUCCUACCCAACUCCCCAGGAAGACGAAUGCCGCACCUGCGCCGGACCGACGGGCCAGCCGGCCCGUCAUCAUCGACG